AAUAAUGAUGAUUUAACUUUGGAAUCUCGUUCGUCUGAAAUCCUGAUGAUAGAUCUCUUUCUGAUGUUA